GCCCCGCGGCGGCCUCGGCUGGAGCGGAGCUGUCCCCAGAGUCGGGCGCUGCCGGACCGCGGAGCUCCCCCGGCGCAGCCGCUGCCCCGCGCGGGACGAGGGUCUGUCCCUGGCCCGGCGCUGCUCCCGGAGUUCACAGAAACGGUACGGACAGAAAACGCUCAACAUGCAUAGAAGCAUCAGAAAACAGAGGGGAAAAAAAGAAACCAUGGCAUUCCCCACAAGAACUCCGUAGAUACCUUACAGCUUGGUUGCAAAAAAAAAAAAAACAAACACCGCACAGGAAAAGAAA